UACGUAGGGGGGCAAGCGUUGUCCGGAUUUAUUGGGCGUAAAGAGCGUGUAGGCGGUCAGGUAGGUCCGUUGUGAAAACUCGAGGCUUAACCUCGAGAUGUCGGCGGAAACCAUCUGGCUAGAGUCCGGAAGAGGAGAGUGGAAUUCCUGGUGUAGCGGUGAAAUGCGCAGAUAUCAGGAAGAACACCCGUGGCGAAGGCGGCUCUCUGG
rnacentral:rRNA from 1 species